GUAGACCCUCGCAGUUGGGUUGUUUGUUAAGAUUGGUUUCGUUGUCGCCUAUAUCAUGCUGUCAUUUCUCGUAUUCGCAUUCCUUAUCUCACUUCUCCUUCUUUAAUAAUCUUUCACCUUAUACUCCAUUGAUUCACAAAUAAAACAUUCGCUAUACAUUCUUGAAUUGGGACAAUUGGAAGAGAUAUGUCUCUUCUGCCCACAAACUUUCUCUUUAUCUCAUUUCCCUUUUAUUGUAUAAGUGAUAAAAGUUAUCUUUUGUCCUUUCCGUUAUCCUAACUAUCAUAAACGCUUCUACUGAGUCACUUAAUCCUCCAUACCCUAGCAAUAAGAUUUCCUUAAAGUCUUUGGCGUUCGACGUUCGAUUAUCUGGUUGAUCUUUCUCGGCUGGUUUUCGUUUUCGUCUCGGUGACAUAAUCAUAAAUUAUUCUUCAUUUCCUUAGAUUCUAAGCCUCAUCGUAUACGUUUGACAUAUAACACAAAAUUUUCUACUCAAAUAAUCAUGUAUUCCAAAAUAUUAAAUUUUGAAACUUGGUUUACUAUAUUAACCAAUAUUCAGAUAAAUAUCUGCUACCUUUAUAACAACUUACUUCAUUAAUCCAACUUGUGACACUCAUGGUACUUCCAACCAUAGCACCUCACAUUAAUAGAACUUAACAUACCAUAGCACAUAUUGCUUUAAACAUCAGCUAUCCCUUUGUGACUACAACAGUCGGGAUUUAAAAUCUUGACCAACAUAAAAGUUGAAAAUAGUUCAUUACUUAUCACACAUAUUACAUAACAUAACCCAUACUACUUAUCUACCAAGCCUUUCUUCUCGGACAUUCAUUCGCUCGAUGUCCUUCCAUUCCACAAUUAAAACAUCCACCUUUCUUAUAGUUGGGGCAACGAGGAGAGGUAUGUCCCUCACAGCCGCAAAUAUAACAUAUCUUCUUCCCUUUCUUCUUAUCAGGUUUUCCUAAGUCAGGAUCUUCUAUCUUUCUUUUUCCCUUACCUCUCGGAGCUGCACACGAUGUGUUGCUUGAGGCUCCCAUCUGGUCAAUUUGGAUUUUGAGCUUAUCUUGCUCUUCCAUUGUUUCUUUUAAUGCUUUUCGCAGUUGAAUAUUAAGCAACUUUUCUAUCUCCCACAACCUUUCUAGUGAAGAAACCUUGUUCUCCAGAUCCUGCACUUUCGUUGAUGCUUGAGCAGCUUCAACUUUAGUGUCUGAAUCACUAUCUGUCAAAUCCACCAUUUCUGGAUCUGAUACUACGUUUUCCACUAUAGCCACCUCGUCCGAUUUGGGUUCUUGGUAAGCUUCUAUUUCAGCUGUUGGCCUCGAUAUUAGCUCGGGGGUAUGGAUCUGAUCCUUCUUAUUCCACAUAUCUUUUCCACCAGACAUCUACAUACAUAAGUUACCCUGAUUAGCAUAUAGUAUAUAUACACAGCAAUCAAGAGUUUUAUAUACGUUGUCUCUUAUUUUGUUUGACGAUGAAUUUAUUCAAUCCAUCUCUAUAAACACAUCAACGCCUAUCUUUCUGCCGAAAGGCAGCUCCAUCCACUCUGCAUCGAAUCGUAUGAAGGCGAUGUCUAAAGCCUGCUCCAAGGUAUAUAUCCUGGUGUCUUUGGCUUCUAUCUCAACCUUCAACUGUCCUAUCUGUAUCUCCCUCUGUUCCAACCUCCCUCGUAACUCUGCUAACUCCAUCUGUGUUCGGUGAGCAGCGUCCUUGUACUGCUGUUCCAAAAUCUGGAGAGUACGAUUCUGUACCUCCGCCUGCUCAGCUCUAACCCUUAAGUCGUCGUUCCUAACUAUCAAAUCUCUUAUCAUCUCACUGUCUGUGUACUCCUCGCUAGAGUCCAUCGUCUCUUGGGUCAAGGAAUUACUAUUUUGACUUUCGUCAUCCAUCCUAUGACCACAAUAAACGAGACAACAUCAUUACUGAAAUAAAAUAUAUUCAUCAUUAAAAUGAAGUAAUAUUUUAUUUAGUACCACUAAAACUCGAUGAAUCUCUUCAACUCAUCAUAUCCUAUAACUUCUCACCAGAGUACUUCGUCUCCUGGUUCACUGAAUAUCUAUCUUAACUUUCGUCCUCCAUUCUACUAAGGUUAUAAUUCUUCACCAGAGUUCUUCGUCUACCGAAUAUCUAUCUUAACUUUCGUUAUCCAUUCUACUAAGGUUAUAACCUAGGUUUCGCAUUCCUAACGUUUAUAACCUACAGCUUUGAUACCAACCUGUGGCGACCCCAAAUCCGGGUACUUGAAACCCGAACUCGGUUCUCCACGAUACCAUUUCUUUAAGCUGAAUAAUACUAAAUAAUAAUACAUUCGAACUUAAUUUACAUACAUCAAAGUUUACUUCCCCAGGUACGUGACCUUCAAAUACAUUCCUUACAAUACCUGACAAUAGAUUCCAUUGUCUUACUAACUAUAACCAUUAACUCAUACUAAAUCUCAUUCGAACAGCUUUUCUUUUCCCUUGUUCGUGCCUGAGCCUUCAGGUCGAUCGUACGUAACUGAAAACAUUUAGUUUAAGCAAGGAUGAGCAUUUGAGUGCCCAGCAAGUAAUAGCAAUUAUAUAUAUAAGCUGAAAGAAUAUAAGUAUUCUCUUUACAUAACACUUCUACAACGAAUCGAAAGUUGUGAAGUAAUCUGUACUGAUAAAAAAUUCACAUAACAACUCUCUUUCAAAUUCUUGAAAUUAGGCUCCACCCAUGAAUAGGGUUUAAGAAACAUACUAUGAACAUUGUUUUUCAUUUUCGAAAAGGUUUAGCAGAAAUUCAUCCGCAAACCGUCAUAACUUACGGGCACGGAGGGUGAUCAGCCCCGUUGUACCCUGUAUUGAUCAAUACUACAUAACUUGAACGAAAUUCAUCGCUCACUCUAUCCGCCUUGCGCGAAAAAAUCUUCCCAUAUAGGGAUGUUCAUACAUGCCUGGUUCCAAACCCGAAGGUUUUUAAUCUUGCUCAACAAUAAUAUGUAAUUCAACAUAUAUGUAUACGGGUAAUUGAC
rnacentral:lncRNA from 1 species